rnacentral:rRNA from 1 species
GUGCCUACGGGAGGCAGCAGUGAGGAAUAUUGGUCAAUGGGCGCGAGCCUGAACCAGCCAAGUAGCGUGAAGGAUGACUGCCCUACGGGUUGUAAACUUCUUUUAUAAAGGAAUAAAGUGAGGCACGUGUGCCUUUUUGUAUGUACUUUAUGAAUAAGGAUCGGCUAACUCCGUGCCAGCAGCCGCGGUAAUACGGAGGAUCCGAGCGUUAUCCGGAUUUAUUGGGUUUAAAGGGUGCGCAGGCGGUCUGUUAAGUCAGCGGUCAAAGCCCGGGGCUCAACCCCGGCCCGCCGUUGAAACUGGCA